GAGCUAUCCACAUAUACUGAGGCGCUCUCGCUUUAAUCUGUCUUUUACACACAGCUCCUACCACAGCUUCUAUGAAAUAUAUGGGUGUGGGCAGAUACCUUCUAAAACCUUCACCGUGUGGCUGAAAUCACAGAUAGCACCAAGCCAAUCUACUCAUUCUACUUAGAAUUCCCCUAUAAGAAAAAUGGGCUGCAAUCGAAACUGUGGGCUCAUCGCUGGUGCUGUCAUUGGUGCAGUUGUGGCUCUGUUCGGAGGGAUUCUAAUGCCAGUUGGAGACAUGCUUAUUGAGAAAACAGUUAAAAAGGUACAAGU